rnacentral:lncRNA from 1 species
AAAAAACAUACAGGGAUAUGCUUUUAGUUCUCCCGUGAGACCGUAAAAUAUUGACGUACCAAACCAAUAAUAAAACUCUCUUUAUUAUAGACAUAAUAACUUUCACAUAUAAAUUAUUCUAACUUACACACUCACUAAUACAUACACUCAAAAGACUACAAGUCUAACCCACUCACUUCACCACUCCACUACACCUCACAACACUUCCUCACACACACACACUUGGUGUGUAGGCCUCCCACCUAUUUAUAGACCUCCAACCCAGCCACUUGAGCACUCUAGAGUAUUCUAGAGCAUUUGUUUCUAGAACCUUUUAAAAUACUCUAUUAGAAAAUAAAAGAAAGAGUCACUAGUUCUAAAGUAUUCUAAAGAGAGAGAAUACUUG